GCUUGGGAUCUAAGUUUCUCAGUCUUUUUUUUUUUUUUUUUUUUGAGAUGGAGUCUCGCUCUGUCACCCAGGCUGGAGUACAGUGGUGCGGUCUCGGCUCACUGCAACCUCUGCCUCUUGGGUUCAAGUGAUUCUCCGCCUCAGCCUCCCGAGUAGCUGGGAUUACGGGUGCCCGCCACCACACCCAACUAAUUUUUAGUAGAGACGGGGUUUCGCCAUGUUGCCCAGGCUGGUCUUGAACUCUUGACCUCAGGUGAUCCAUACGCCUCGGCCUCCCAAAGUGCUAGGAUUACAGGUGUGAGCUAACAUGACCGGCCUCUCAGUCUUUAAAAUAGAUGCGAGGUUGGACAUGAUAUGGAGGCCUCUGUGCACUGAUGUGCUCACUGGGCUGCGAGAUAGGGCGGCUGGGCAGGUGAGGAAUAGAGCUCAGCCCCUCGGGUGGCCAAUCCCUUCCUUUCUUCAGGGCCAGCCACAGGCUCCAGUUUCAUGGGGAGAGAUUUUCUCAGCCUCACUCCCAGGAGCCAGACGCAAGGAGGGGUACCACCCACUGGUGUCUAACCACCUCCUGUACUACCCCAACCUGCCUUCUAGGACCUUCUCAAUCUAGGCCCUGCCAGAUUCUGUUGCUUCUAGGCUCCUUCUGGUCUCUUGGCCUUCGCUUAUGCUGUUUCUCUGCCUGUUCACUCUCCCCAGAUCCUUGCCCUUCAAGUCUUCACUUAGAUAUCACCUCCUCCAGGAAGACCUCCCUGACCCCCCUCCAACCUCCUCUGGGCCAGGCCAGAGGCACUUCUGUAUUUCCAUGGCUGCCUGUACUCCCUUUCCUGCAGUGUAGCUCACCUGGGUUUCUCUACCAGUGUCAGGGUUCUCCUGAGCCCCCCAGCACCCUACACUCCUCAAGGGCAGGACUGUGUCUGUCUUAUCUUGUGGAGCCUGUCCCAGCAAGGUGCCUGGCACAGAGCAGGUGCGCAUUCACUCAAGUGACCAGAGCCUUCUCUCUGCCAGGCACCAUUUGCUGGCUGGCUGGCUGGAUGAAGAAUGAGUGUCCGCUGGCCUGGGCCAAGCAUCGGAAGGCGCCUUCUGCAUGCCCAGGCCUUUUCCAGGCCCUUCCUGGAAGAGGCUGCCCCUGCCUGCCCGCCCUGCCAUUACCUGGCCAGAUGAUGGCUUCCAGGAGGGUGACCCGUCUGGCCAGGAGCUCCAGCUGAGCCUGCUGCUGCAGGAAGCUCUGUAAGCUAGGAGCCUGAUGGGAGAUGGAGAAGAGCAGACGGUGCGAGUCUGGCCUCCGAGGGCUGGGCUGGGGAGCCAAGCGGGGAGGGUGGGAGGGCACUGCCAGCUGGCGUCAGGGCAGGAGCCUGGGAGUGAGUCUCAGUACGGGACAAGGGCGAGAGUCAUCUCGAAAAUAAAAAGACCUUAGAAGUUAUCAUUCCAUCUUAACAACAAGUGGAAA
rnacentral:lncRNA from 10 species